GUCCACGCUGUAAACUAUGAGUGCUAGAUGUCGGGGGGGUUACCUCUCGGUGUCGGAGCUAACGCGUUAAGCACUCCGCCUGGGGAGUACGGCCGCAAGGCUAAAACUCAAAGGAAUUGACGGGGGCCCGCACAAGCGGUGGAGCAUGUGGUUCAAUUCGAAGCAACGCGCAGAACCUUACCAGCCCUUGACAUGGGACGUGAGAGCCGCGGAGACGCGGUUCGUCAUUUUAGUUGGCGUCCACACAGGUGCUGCAUGGCUGUCGU
rnacentral:rRNA from 1 species